GAGAAUAACUUAUACUGAGCGUGACCAAUAUGAGAAACUACUUGGAUGUCUACUCACUCAUCAGUGGUUUUUUCGAUGCUACAGUGGUGUGACUGAUCCUUUAACCUGCAGUGUGUUGGCUAUUCACAGUGAGGCUACUUAGUUUGACUGCACGUUUUCUUGGUCCCUAGCCAUUCGGGUCCUUGCUGUGUAUGUUGGCUAUUGUAGGUUCAGGUUCGCUAUUUGGAGUAGGAUGUACCU
rnacentral:lncRNA from 1 species